UGGGUAAUCUUUGAACGUGAAUCGUGCUGGGGAUAGAUGAUUGCAAUUAUUCAUCUUCAAUGAGGAAUUCCUAGUAAACGCAAGUCAUCAGCUUGCAUUGAUUACGUCCCUGCCCUUUGUACACACCGCCCGUCGCACCUACCGAUUGAAUGGUCCGGCGAAAUCUUCGGAUCUGAGAGAUGCUGGAUUCAUUUUUGGCAUCUUUUAGAAAAGUUGCUUAAACCUUAUCAUUUAGAGGAAGGUGAAGUCGUAACAAGGUUUCCGUAGGUGAACCUGCGGAAGGAUCAUUA
rnacentral:rRNA from 1 species